AUGGCUUUGGUCCAACGGUUUGGAAAACCAGAUCUAUUUCUUACAAUGACAUGCAAUCCAAGUUGGGAGGAGAUAACAAAGGAGCUCGCACCAGGACAAUCAGCACAAGACCGGCCAGAUUUGGUAGCACGAGUUUUCAGGGCAAAAUUGGAGGAUCUUAAGAAUCUCAUAUUUAAAAAGAAAUUUUUUGGUGAAGUUGCUGCUCACGUGCAUGUCAUUGAAUUUCAAAAAAGGGGACUA
rnacentral:rRNA from 1 species